AUUGAACGCUGGCGGCAGGCCUAACACAUGCAAGUCGAGCGAGCGGCGGACGGGUGAGUAAUGUCUGGGAAACUGCCUGAUGGAGGGGGAUAACUACUGGAAACGGUAGAUAAUACCGCAUACCAUCGGAUGUGCCCAGAUGGGAUUAGCUAGUCGGUGGGGUAACGGCUCACCUAGGCGACGAACCCUAGCUGGUCUGAGAGGCUGACCAGCCACACUGGAACUGAGACACUGUCCAGACGCCUACGGGAGGCAGCAGUGGGGAAUAUUGCACAAGGGGCGCAAGCCUGAUGCAGCCAUGCCGCGUGUAUGAAGAAGGCCUUCGGGUUGUAAAGUACUUUCAGCGGGGAGGCGUUACCCGCAGAAGAAGCACCGGCUAACUCCGUGCCAGCAGCCGCGGUAAUAC
rnacentral:rRNA from 1 species